CUCAGGCCCCGGGAGGCGCGCUCAGGCGCAGACGGGCACGCGCCGCCAACAUGCCGGUGGCCCGCAGCUGGGUGUGUCGCAAGACCUACGUGACCCCGCGGAGGCCCUUCGAGAAGUCGCGCCUCGACCAGGAGCUGAAGCUGAUCGGCGAGUACGGGCUCCGCAACAAGCGCGAGGUGUGGAGGGUCAAGUUCACGCUGGCCAAGAUCCGCAAGGCGGCCCGCGAGCUGCUCACGCUGGACGAGAAGGACCCGCGGCGCCUGUUCGAAGGCAAUGCCCUGCUGCGACGCCUGGUCCGCAUCGGGGUGCUGGACGAGGGCAAGAUGAAGCUGGAUUACAUCCUGGGCCUGAAGAUCGAGGACUUCCUGGAGAGGCGUCUGCAGACCCAGGUCUUCAAGCUGGGCCUGGCCAAGUCCAUCCACCACGCCCGCGUGCUGAUCCGCCAGCGCCACAUCAGCUCACCUUGAGGGUACAGUGACCCCCGCAGAACCGCUCUUGGGGGCCCGGGGUGACCACCCCCAUAUCCGGCGCGAGGGUCACUGCGGCCAGGGCCGUACACCUUGCGAAGGUCCUGCCUGGCCUGGUGCGGGCGGCUUCACAGGGUCCGCAAGCAGGUGGUGAACAUCCCGUCCUUCAUUGUCCGCCUGGACUCGCAGAAGCACAUUGACUUCUCCCUGCGCUCCCCCUACGGCGGCGGGCGGCCCGGCCGCGUGAAGAGGAAGAACGCCAAGAAGGGUCAGGGCGGUGCGGGCGCCGGCGAGGACGAGGAGGAGGACUAAGCCCUCGGCUCCAGGCUGCCCCA